UGACUAUGUCCCUGUGAGCACGUCAUUCACGGACUAAGCUGCUGUGAGGUGUCAGGGCACACACUGUUAUCCCCAUUGUAGACGGGGAAUCGGAGGGAAAGUGUUUUGCUGAAGACCAUGGAAUGGGUAAGCAGCUCAUCUGGGACUUCUGGCAGGAUCUCUCGACUCCAGGGCUCAUUCUCAUGUCCUGUCAUAUGCCUUUCACAAAUGCUGAGGGCUGGGAGCCCCUUGGCCAUUUGGAGCCAUUGAAGUAUCCAGCCAACAGAUACCGGGAUCUCAGACACCUCCGUUACAUACCCCAUGGUGUUGUCAUCAUUUGUCUCCCACCAGACUGUGAGCCAUAGGUGCUUUGGGAAUUUGUAUGAGCUUUUCCUGAUGUGGUUGAUUUGUCCUGAGUCCCACUACGCAUGUGCGUCUCAUGCUCAUUGGAUUGCUCGUCCUUGGAAUCCAGCUGAUGGAAGAUUCUCUUCUAGAAGAACCUUCACAGAAGUUUGUAUAGUAUUUCCUUGAGGACUGUUUGUGGGCCACACCUAGGGUCUAAUCCGAGCUGUAG